AAGGGUCACUAGGGGUGGUUGACUGAGAGUCCCGUCAGUGCGGGACAACCCUUAUCACCUGAUCUGGGUAAUACCAGCGUAGGGAAGUGGCGCCGACAAAGG
rnacentral:ncRNA from 2 species